UUGAGUAGGCAUAAUUGAUUAUUUUUUUAUGGGUUGUAAGAGGAAACUGACUUUUAGCAUGUGUAUAUAUUUAUUUGUUGCAUUUUAAAUGUGUAAAUCUGUCCAGCUAGGUUGUGUAGGUGUUUUUGUGGUUUAUUGUAUGCAUGCUGGGACAGUAUAUUUAUUGAUGGUUAUUGAUAUUGGGUAUUUAUUGGUAUUUAUUCUGGCAAAAUGUUGCCAGUCUCUUGUUAAA